rnacentral:rRNA from 1 species
AUUGAACGCUGGCGGCAUGCUUUACACAUGCAAGUCGAACGGUAACAGGCCUUCGGGCGCUGACGAGUGGCGAACGGGUGAGUAAUGCAUCGGAACGUGCCCAGUCGUGGGGGAUAACGCAGCGAAAGCUGUGCUAAUACCGCAUACGAUCUGCGGAUGAAAGCGGGGGACCUUCGGGCCUCGCGCGAUUGGAGUGGGCGAUGUCAGAUUAGGUAGUUGGUGGGGUAAAGGGUCACCAAGCCAACGAUCUGUAGCUGGUCUGAGAGGACGACCAGCCACACUGGGACUGAGACACGGCCCAGACUCCUACGGGAGGCAGCAGUGGGGAAUUUUGGACAAUGGGCGCAAGCCUGAUCCAGCAAUGCCGCGUGCAGGAAGAAGGCCUUCGGGUUGUAAACUGCUUUUGUACGGAGCGAAAAGGCUCCCUCUAAUACAGGGGGCUCAUGACGGUACCGUAAGAAUAAGCACCGGCUAACUACGUGCCAGCCGCCGCCGUAAAAC